CAGCAGCAGCCGCGGGAAUACAGAGGGUGCGAGCGUUAAUCGGAUUUACUGGGCGUAAAGCGUGCGUAGGCGGCUAAUUGAGUCGGAUGUGAAAUCCCCGAGCUUAACUUGGGAAUUGCAUUCGAUACUGGUUAGCUAGAGUGUGGGAGAGGAUGGUAGAAUUCCAGGUGUAGCGGUGAAAUGCGUAGAGAUCUGGAGGAAUACCGAUGGCGAAGGCAGCCAUCUGGCCUAACACUGACGCUGAGGUACGAAAGCAUGGGGAGCAAACAGGAUUAGAUACCCCGGUAGUCCCUGUCUCUUAUAA
rnacentral:rRNA from 1 species